rnacentral:tRNA from 1 species
GCCCGGGUAGCUCAGUUGGCUAGAGCAUCAGACUUUUAAGCAAUUAGGAAUCUGAGGGUCGUGAGUUCGAGCCUCACUUCGGGCG